AUGUACAUGCCUACAACAUAACGUUAAUGCAUUGAAUCCUAUUAGAACUUUGUAGUUAAGCGUGCUCGGGCUAGAGUAGUACUCGUAUGGGUGACCACCCAGGAAGUCCUAGUGUUUUACAUU
rfam:Picea glauca, whole genome shotgun sequence.